rnacentral:rRNA from 1 species
CCUACGGGCCGCACCAGUGGGGAAUAUUGCACAAUGGGCGCAAGCCUGAUGCAGCCAUGCCGCGUGUAUGAAGAAGGCCUUCGGGUUGUAAAGUACCUUCAGCGGGGAGGAAGGUGUUGUGGUUAAUAACCGCAGCAAUUGACGUUACCCGCAGAAGAAGCACCGGCUAACUCCGUGCCAGCAGCCGCGGUAAUACGGAGGGUGCAAGCGUUAAUCGGAAUUACUGGGCGUAAGGCGCACGCAGGCGGUCUGUCAAGUCGGAUGUGAAAUCCCCGGGCUCAACCUGGGAACUGCAUUCGAAACUGGCAGGCUAGAGUCUUGUAGAGGGGGGUAGAAUUCCAGGUGUAGCGGUGAAAUGCGUAGAGAUCUGGAGGAAUACCGGUGGCGAAGGCGGCCCCUGGACAAAGACUGACGCUCAGGUGCGAAAGCGUGGGGAGCAAACAGGAUUAGAUACCCUAGUAGUC